rnacentral:rRNA from 1 species
CUACGGGUUGCUGCAGUGGGGAAUAUUGCACAAUGGAGGAAACUCUGAUGCAGCAACGCCGCGUGGAGGAUGACACAUUUCGGUGCGUAAACUCCUUUUAUAUGAGAAGAUAAUGACGGUAUCAUAUGAAUAAGCUCCGGCUAACUCCGUGCCAGCAGCCGCGGUAAUACGGGGGGAGCAAGCGUUACUCGGAAUCACUGGGCGUAAAGAGCAUGUAGGCUGAUAGAUAAGUUGGAAGUGAAAUCCUAUGGCUUAACCAUAAAACUGCUUCCAAAACUGUCUGUCUAGAAUAUGGGAGAGGUAGAUGGAAUUUCUGGUGUAGGGGUAAAAUCCGUAGAGAUCAGAAGGAAUACCGAUUGCGAAGGCGAUCUACUGGAACAUAAUUGACGCUGAGAUGCGAAAGCGUGGGGAGCAAACAGGAUUAGAUACCCUCGUAGUC